GGGGGCAUGGCUCAGUGGUGGAGCACUUUCCUGGCACAGAAGAGGCCCUGGAUUCUAUCCCCAGGACCGCA
rnacentral:tRNA from 1 species